AGACCAACCAUAGCUCAGUGUUUCUCAAGAGCAUCCUGUGGAGCCCAGUGUGUGAGACGCCCAGAAGAAAGCACUCUGUGGUCAGGGAAUACUGAGAGACAAAUCUCCAAGAUCACAAAUUAUUAAUGGUUGCCCCAGAACUGCUGGUGGCCAUAUCCCCUGGCAUAUGGAAGGGCCCAGAAGAGGCCACUCUACUGCAGAGGCCAAUAGAAGCUACCAUGUGAGCUGUGAAGAGACCCUCAUAGCAAGGUGCUGAGGGAGGCUUCUAGCGAACAGCCAGUGAGAAAUGGAGGACCUCAGUGCAACAGCCCUUGAGGAACUUAAUCCUGCCAACAGCCACAUAAGUGAGCCUAAGAGGACCCUUCUCCAGAGACUGCAGCCCCAGAUGACAACUACUGGAACCCUGUGAAAGUACACAGUGAAGCUGUGCCUGGAUUCUUGACGCACAGAAACUGGGAGAUUAUGUUUCCCAGUUUGUUUGUCCAUUAACUCGGCCUCUGGAGGAAUGCAUUUAACACAAUGCCUGCCAAGCUCCCUAACACCAUCUCCCAUGGAGCACCUUGUGGAGGGUGCAGUGUGUGAACAUCACACCUACAUCACCCUUUCCUACAGACAGUUCCACUCUCAUUUAAACCACCAGCCGCAGUCAGAAGCCCUUGGGUCAGCCGAAUGCAGAAGGCGGGAAAAGGAAUAAUAUCCAAGACUCUCAGAAUAUAAUGCUGAGCCCCAUACAUCUCCUCCU